rnacentral:tRNA from 1 species
GGGGCUAUAGUAUAAGCUGGCUAGUACAGCUGGCUCCAGACCAGCAAAUCAGGGUUCAAAUCCCUGUAGCCCCA